rnacentral:rRNA from 1 species
GAGUUUGAUCCUGGCUCAGAACGAACGCUGGCGGCGUGCCUAACACAUGCAAGUCGAACGUGAUCCAGAGCUUGCUCUGGUGAAAGUGGCGCACGGGUGAGUAACGCGUGGAUAACCUACCCUGGUAUCCGGGAUAACAUUCCGAAAGGGGUGCUAAUACCGGAUAAGCCCACGGGCUCUUUGGAGCUUGCGGGAAAAGGUGGCCUCUAUUUAUAAGCUACUGUAUCAGGAUGGGUCCGCGUACCAUUAGCUAGUUGGCGGUGUAACGGACCACCAAGGCGACGAUGGUUAGCUGGUCUGAGAGGAUGAUCAGCCACACUGGAACUGAGACACGGUCCAGACUCCUACGGGAGGCAGCAGUGGGGAAUUUUGCGCAAUGGGGGAAACCCUGACGCAGCAACGCCGCGUGAGUGAUGAAGGCCUUUGGGUCGUAAAGCUCUGUCAGAGGGGAAGAAAUGAUAUAGUGCUAAUACCACAUUAUCUUGACGGUACCCUCAAAGGAAGCACCGGCUAACUCCGUGCCAGCAGCCGCGGUAAUAC